ACUCAGAAACUACAACUUCAGCUCAAACAGCAGAUUGAGAAGCAAAGUUUAAUACACUAUGUUCCUGUGUGAUUAAGCUCUUGCAGCCUGUUCAGGAGGUGGCUGCUUAACGAGACAUGUAGCUUGGCUACUGGGCAAACACGCUGGAGCCUGUGUCUGCAAGCUUGCUGAUGCCGCCAGAUGCCUGCCGUGUCGGAGCCGCACACCCGGUGGACUCCGAUGCCCAACCCCUUCUUCUGGAGCUAGUAAUUCAGCCUCUGCUUCCUGCUUGAGUAAACUCUGCAAAAG
rnacentral:lncRNA from 1 species